GGAUAAACAGGUGGUUAAAGCAGCAGCAUGACACAUCCACCAACAUGACAGAGCUUUGGGAUGUUGUUGCUCUCGUCUUCAGCACAACCCUGUGCCUGAACAGUGUCUGACGCAUAGUAGGACCUCAGCAGAUACUUGUGGACUGACUCUGUCCAGUGCCCUUUUCUGCGACUCCGGUCUGCUUUAAGAGCCCUGUGAACUCAGUGUUUAAGAAGAAACACUAAACCAGAGACUCACUCAGGUAAAUAAAAACGCUCAUCUUUCCUGGACUCUUACUUCAGUGAACCAGGCUGGUCCCAAUUGGACAAAUAAGGAGAACAGCUCUGUGAAUCACUCUCUUCGCUCCUGCCUUUGGCACCCAGAGAGGUUACCUCACUCACCUCGAGGCAGAAAGAGCUGCUGGAUUACUCACCUGCUGGAGAGCUUGUCACCAGCUGCAAGCUCUCCCUGCGUGUCCACGAGGCAGUGUCGAGAAACCAAAGGCAGUGGCAGAACAACACGUGGAGCGUGACCCCACUGCAAAAUGGCACACACGGAGAGUCCGAGCAUCGGUGCAGAGGAAAGGGCCUCAGGGAUGCACCGCUUGAGAGUGGGUGUCCUGAGGGGAGGACUUGGUUUGGGGCUGUCAUAUUCAGGGAGGGUGGCUCUUACUUUGUACACUGCACUUUUUUAUAGCAUAAAUGUUUGAAAUAAAA
rnacentral:lncRNA from 1 species